AUUGAACGCUGGCGGCAGGCCUAACACAUGCAAGUCGAGCGGUAGCACAGAGAGCUUGCUCUCGGGUGACGAGCGGCGGACGGGUGAGUAAUGUCUGGGAAACUGCCUGAUGGAGGGGGAUAACUACUGGAAACGGUAGCUAAUACCGCAUAACGUCGCAAGACCAAAGUGGGGGACCUUCGGGCCUCAUGCCAUCAGAUGUGCCCAGAUGGGAUUAGCUAGUAGGUGGGGUAACGGCUCACCUAGGCGACGAUCCCUAGCUGGUCUGAGAGGAUGACCAGCCACACUGGAACUGAGACACGGUCCAGACUCCUACGGGAGGCAGCAGUGGGGAAUAUUGCACAAUGGGCGCAAGCCUGAUGCAGCCAUGCCGCGUGUGUGAAGAAGGCCUUCGGGUUGUAAAGCACUUUCAGCGGGGAGGAAGGCGGUGAGGUUAAUAACCUCAUCGAUUGACGUUACCCGCAGAAGAAGCACCGGCUAACUCCGUGCCAGCAGCCGCGGUAAUACGGAGGGUGCAAGCGUUAAUCGGAAUUACUGGGCGUAAAGCGCACGCAGGCGGUCUGUCAAGUCGGAUGUGAAAUCCCCGGGCUCAACCUGGGAACUGCAUUCGAAACUGGCAGGCUAGAGUCUUGUAGAGGGGGGUAGAAUUCCAGGUGUAGCGGUGAAAUGCGUAGAGAUCUGGAGGAAUACCGGUGGCGAAGGCGGCCCCCUGGACAAAGACUGACGCUCAGGUGCGAAAGCGUGGGGAGCAAACAGGAUUAGAUACCCUGGUAGUCCACGCUGUAAACGAUGUCGAUUUGGAGGUUGUGCCCUUGAGGCGUGGCUUCCGGAGCUAACGCGUUAAAUCGACCGCCUGGGGAGUACGGCCGCAAGGUUAAAACUCAAAUGAAUUGACGGGGGCCCGCACAAGCGGUGGAGCAUGUGGUUUAAUUCGAUGCAACGCGAAGAACCUUACCUGGUCAUGACAUCCACAGAACUUUCCAGAGAUGGAUUGGUGCCUUCGGGAACUGUGAGACAGGUGCUGCAUGGCUGUCGUCAGCUCGUGUUGUGAAAUGUUGGGUUAAGUCCCGCAACGAGCGCAACCCUUAUCCUUUGUUGCCAGCGGUUAGGCCGGGAACUCAAAGGAGACUGCCAGUGAUAAACUGGAGGAAGGUGGGGAUGACGUCAAGUCAUCAUGGCCCUUACGACCAGGGCUACACACGUGCUACAAUGGCAUAUACAAAGAGAAGCGACCUCGCGAGAGCAAGCGGACCUCAUAAAGUAUGUCGUAGUCCGGAUUGGAGUCUGCAACUCGACUCCAUGAAGUCGGAAUCGCUAGUAAUCGUAGAUCAGAAUGCUACGGUGAAUACGUUCCCGGGCCU
rnacentral:rRNA from 1 species